GCAGGCUGCAACCCGCCUGUAUGAAGUUGGAAUCGCUAGUAAUCGCGGAUCAGCAUGCCGCGGUGAAUACGUUCCCGGGCCUUGUACACACCGCCCGUCACACCAUGAGAGUCGGGAACACCCGAAGUCCGUAGCCUAACCGCAAGGAGGGCGCGGCCGAAGGUGGGUUCGAUAAUUGGGUGAAGUCGUAACAAGGUAUC
rnacentral:rRNA from 1 species